UCCCGGGCACCGCGGGCUGCCCUCGGGGAUCGGGGGUGGUAGCCGCUCUGCCCGCGCUGCGGAUCCCCGGGACAGGGCGGGCGGCUGUCACUGCGGCUGUCACCGCGGGCUUUUCCUGUCACCGAGCCUGGCUUAGAACGGCCUGGCUUGGAACGGAACUUAGAGAUCAUCCCGUUCCAUCCCCUGCCAUGGGCAGGGACAAGUACCGCUAGACUGGGUUUCAAGCCCCGUCCAUCCUGGACAUGAACACUUCCAGGAAUCGGACAGCCACAGUUUAUCUGGGCAGCCUAUGCGAGGGCCUCACAGGGAAGAAUUCCUUCCCAAAAUCCCAUGUGACCCUGCCUUCUGUCAGUGUGAAGCCAUUCCCCCUUGUCCCGUCACUCCAGCCCUUGUGGUCUGGAAAGACAGUCCUGCUGUCACUGCUGCAUCCAAGAGGGAUAAGGGGCAAAGAGCUGGCACCAGCUUCUCCUAAGUGCACACGUGGGGAAGCACCCUGUAGCUGUGGCCUGGGCGUCGCCAAGUGAGAGCUGGAAUUUCAACUGCAGACCAUCAAACCCAAAAUACAAUCUUGGGUUUUCCAGCACAAGUCUUUCAUCCUGCUGUGUUGCCACCACACUCAUUUAUCAGAAGCCUUGAACGUUUCCUAUCACCAUUUUGAAAAUGAGAACAAGCUACUCUAUGUCACCCUCCUGUUGCUGGCUGAUGUUUUUGUAAACUGUUCCUUGUAAGAGCCUUGCACGUGACAGACUCCAGCCCUGAGAACAGCACAGCCUCUUGACAGCAGCACUCUCAACCCUUCUGGGCUUUCAAGCUGGCAUGCCCCGUGUUUAUGGAGCCGUGCUGAAAAGCAGAGAACUUCAGCCCAGGACCGAAGCACUGUGCCGGCCCGAGGGCCCUUCCAGAGGAAUUCUUGAGGCUCUGCGGCACGCUGGAUAAAGGGAGAUGACAGAGUGCCUCCCCCUUACGUAAGGCUGCAGCUCCCUGCCAGCCCCUGGGGCCGAGGAGAGCCCUUCAUGUGACCCUCAGCCAUCCCCAGCAGCCCGGUAUUAAUGUGAGACAUAAAGCCUGCACGUUACAUAAGCGUCUCUCCUGGCCAAGUGUUUCCUGCUGCAGAAACCGAGGUUUAAUUUUAACUUGCUGCUUAAAAAAAUGAAACGUUCUGUGGGUAGGAGGAAGUGUAGGGGUGGGAACGGAGGUUAUUCGUGUGCCAGCAGGAAUGUGCCAGAAAGAUCAGCGAUGUGUUUCUGUUCGAUUUACGUGGCCAACUUAAGUCUGACAGCAUCUGUGCCCAAGUGCUCCAAGACCCAUUCAACGCUUUGCCUAAUGCAGCCAACAGGAGAAUUGCAAACGUCAUGAAAUGCUUUUUAAUUACGCCAUUGCUGCCCAGUAAAACACUGGCUUUUAAAGGUGUCCUAUAAACAAUAGUGUAGUUUUAAUUUACUUAGAAAUGCACUGACCUGGCAUUUUGACUUAGUCUGAAGGACAGAGAGUGGAAAAUGCAGUUUCAGCAUUUAAAAACGUGAGGGAAGCAGAUGACUGUCAGUGUGACCACCUAAGGCGUUAGAGCUGAAACCCCUGACGUGCCGGAUGGGGAGUUGGUGUUGUGUGGGACUGUAGCCUGUUUCAAUGUGCUGAAUUUUCCUGAUAAAUCUGAAAAGUCAUCAGGCUUUCCUCUGGCCUACCCGCAGCAGUGUGAGGUUUUUGGGAUGGCCAAUUCCCCUUGGGGCAUGGGGGAAUCCCUGGAGGUCAUGCUGCCUGUCCUGCGCCCCCUCCAAAAUCUGGCUUCUUACUGACCUAAACAGAGCCAGAUUUUUGUGUGAAAAUUAUACCCUGGGACAGCAAUUUCUGCCAUAAAGAGCACUGGGAUGUGACUAUAUCUGCCUGCCAAGGGUUUCUUAAAAAAACUGCAGGUUUUUUACCUCAGAAGUUUAGUUUUUUUUACCUCAGCCGCCCAUAGCAUCACCUGAGGGGUGCCCCUCCUUUGCCCACCAGUUGCCCUCACCCAGUCUAGUCAGAAAUUACUAAUAAAUAUGAAGAAAUA